rnacentral:lncRNA from 1 species
GCCCAUCUUAUCUCUGAUUUUGGUUAGAAUGGUUAAGAUCAAAAGAGAUAAGAUCUUUAAGGGCAUGAUGAAGUGGUUGGGGUGAGAUGGAGUUAGUUUUUGUGUGACAAAAAUUUUUUAAGCAUGAGGUCUUGCGUGAAGAGAAGCGUGGCGACUUCUUUAGGACAUCACAUCUCUUUUCAAUGCCUCUCUCCUCCUUUCUCCCCUUGAUCUCCAUGCC